AAACCAACAGGGAUUGCCUUAGUAGCGGCGAGUGAAGCGGCAAAAGCUCAAAUUUGAAAUCUGGCACUUUCAGUGUCCGAGUUGUAAUUUGAAGAAGGUAUCUUUGGGUCUGGCUCUUGUCUAUGUUUCUUGGAACAGAACGUCACAGAGGGUGAGAAUCCCGUGCGAUGAGAUGACCCAGACCUAUGUAAAGUUCCUUCGAAGAGUCGAGUUGUUUGGGAAUGCAGCUCUAAGUGGGUGGUAAAUUCCAUCUAAAGCUAAAUAUUGGCGAGAGACCGAUAGCGAACAAGUACAGUGAUGGAAAGAUGAAAAGAACUUUGAAAAGAGAGUGAAAAAGUACGUGAAAUUGUUGAAAGGGAAGGGCUUGAGAUCAGACUUGGUAUUUUGUAUGUUACUCUUUCGGGGGUGGCCUCUACAGUUUACCGGGCCAGCAUCAGUUUGGGCGGUAGGAGAAUUGCAAAGAAAUGAGGCACUGCCUCGGUAGUGUGUUAUAGUCUUUGUCGAUACUGCCAGCCUAGACUGAGGACUGCGGCUUCGGCCUAGGAUGUUGGCAUAAUGAUCUUAAGUCGCCCGUCUUGAACCACGGACCA
rnacentral:rRNA from 1 species